rnacentral:tRNA from 2 species
GUUAAAGUGGCAGAUAAAUGUGCUAAAUUUAGGAUUUAGUUAUGGGUAUUCCCCUUUAAUA